UACAGAGGUCUCAAGCGUUGUUCGGAUUCAUUGGGCGUAAAGGGUGCGUAGGUGGCGCGGUAAGUCGGAUGUGAAAUCUCGGAGCUUAACUCCGAAACUGCAUUCGAUACUGCCGUGCUUGAGGACUGGAGAGGAGACUGGAAUUUACGGUGUAGCGGUGAAAUGCGUAGAUAUCGUAAGGAAGACCAGUGGCGAAGGCGGGUCUCUGGACAGUUCCUGACGCUGAGGCACGAAGGCCAGGGGAGCAAACGGG
rnacentral:rRNA from 1 species